AGAGAAUAGUUUAUUAAAAAUAUUAAUUUUGGAGAUUAAUGAAAGAUUAAAUCUUUCUCUGAA
rnacentral:tRNA from 1 species